rnacentral:rRNA from 1 species
UACGUAGGGGGCAAGCGUUGUUCGGAUUUACUGGGCGUAAAGGGCGCGUAGGCGGCCUCCGCAAGUCAGUUGUGAAAUCUCCGAGCUUAACUCGGAAAGGUCAACUGAUACUGCGGGGCUAGAGUGCGGAAGGGGCAACUGGAAUUCUUGGUGUAGCGGUGAAAUGCGUAGAUAUCAAGAGGAACACCUGCGGCGAAGGCGGGUUGCUGGGCCGACACUGACGCUGAGGCGCGAAAGCUAGGGGAGCGAACGGG